GACUGGAGGCAAGGCAGUCUUAGUGAAGAGCUGUUGGAUGUGGAAUUUGCUGCGCUGAUCCAGAUUUUGUCAUCUUUCAAGACCAAGGUACCCCCACAAGCAACGUGGACACCUCACAGAUGUGAGAGUCUAGAGACAACACAGAGGACUAUAUGGUGGAUGAGGAGGAGAAUGGGAGACAGGCGAGUGGUGGAUCCACUCUCUCAGAGAGCCAGGAAAUAUUUUUAACCCAGGAGCCCUGUGAGUCACAGGACAUCAUGGUGGCCGACCGUGAUGCCAGGGAAGGCACCUCUGACAGCUGGAAAUGUGUCCUUCGGCGUGUCAUCAACACCUGAAAGCAGACUUUCGCUGAUUAGAAGGAAACAAAAGAGAAUGCGGGAGGACAUGGUCGUUGAGAUAAUGAGCGGCUCCGGGACGGCUGACACAGAGCUGAAAGCAUGGAGGAUUUCACUGUCUGAGAAGAUUCUAUGAUUAUGAGGGACCAAACAGACACAUUGAGGCAUCUGGUUGAACUGCAGAUGAUCUAGAAUGUGGUGUUAUGUUACACAGCUGAAAAUGUUUCUCCCGUUCCAACUUUACAACCCCUUUUCCCCAAGGCUACUUUUUUUUCUGUUCUUCCUCUUUACUUAUGUUUGUUAAAGCAAAUGGAUUUGAGAAAUAAAUGCUCUUUAUUGAGUAGAAGCAGUGGGAUUGGGCGGGGGGUUGGCUUUACAGGACAGUGCAUCAUGGGAUGCUGAUGCAAUGUUCCCAUUUUCCCCUGCGACAAUGUUUUGCUAGUGUAGACCAAGCAUAUGUUAAAUGUGUGAUUUAGUUUAUUUAAAAAAAAAUAGUUAUAACAGCAAUACCCUGAGUGUAGACACCUUUAUACCAGUAUAACUAACUUAUACUGGUAUACUUAUUCCCCUUCCUGUACAGGAAUGACUAUACUAGUAUGUAACAUCUUUGUAUUAAUAUAACUGCGUCCACACUAGGAGGAUUGUACUGCUUUAACCAACUCAGUACAGUUAAAACGGUACAAUUUUCUAAUGCAGACAAGGCCUUAAACGUUGCUACUCUGGAAUUACAUCUCCAAAACACAGGUUUGGACUGUACUAAAAACUUAUAUGGGCAUAACUAUGUUGGUCAGGAGUGUGAGGAAUGGUUCUGUCAACAUAGCUAAUGCAGUUUGGGGAAGUGGUGUUCCUACACUUGUGGACAACCUCCUUCUUUCAGUGUAUGCUGCGUCUACACAAGCUGGUUUUCCAGCAUAGCUAUACUGACAUAGGCAGGGUAGUGUAGACAUAGCCUGAUAUAUAAUCAAGCCCAGUAUGUCUGUCUUGAGUACUACAGCAUGUUAAAAAAGUGUGUAGAAAUCGACUAAUUUCCUUUUUUUUUUUAAUUCCCAAUAAAAUGUAUUGUUUAUUUUAUAGGUAGAGUUAACUAAUUGUUAAUCGUGUCAUUGCUGCAAGAGGUAAGGAAAGCAAAUAACAAUAUUAAACCUUUAAAGUUCUCAUAGUGGAUUAGAUUGACUAAGUGGGACUUAGUGUUUUAGGGUGAAGCAGUAGUGUAUAAACUGAAGUUGAACCUGUACUUUUCAGUGUGUUAUAAUAGCUGUAGUAGUAUCUGUGCUUGAAGAUUAAUCUAAUGAGCAUAACAGACUAUAAUUGUGCAGAUAAAGAAACGGUAUCUAUCUGGCUUCCCUCUUACCACAGAGGAUGACAUUAAUUAGUAUUUUUAAUUAUGUAUUUUCCUUAUACAGCACUUUAGCUGUGCAUAGCACUUUAUAUUUAAAAAAUUAUAGUCCACUUGUCUUGAUGAUUUUAUAAUUUAAAUUAGACAUAAAUCUGCAAGGAAAGCCAUUAAACAAUGAAUAGCUAGGAGUGGGGGAAAGGAAGGAUGACGUACAAAGGUGUAGAUAAUGAGAGAAACUUAUAAUAAUAUAAUAUGUGGAGAUAUACCUAUCUCAUAGAACUGGAAGGGACCCUGACAGGUCAUCAAGUCCAGCCCCCUGCAUUCACUAGCAGGAUGAAGUACUGAUUUUGCCCCAGACCUC